UAAAAAACCAAUAGAGCUGAGGAUAACAAUUUUGCAAACAUCUGUUACCGGAAUAAAUUGUCUACCUUUAAACGCAUUCCGAUCCUGCAUUUAACACCACCCCUUCUCGUAAACAAGAAAAGAAACAACAGACUCCUGGAGUUGUGUUCAAUCCGCAAGCGCAACCUGCAUACGGGCAGUCUAACCCGGCGUAUGGAUCUCCACAACCACAGCCAUACAGCGUGCAACCGCCAAUGCCAACAAAUGCAUAAACAAUAAUGAGUGGAUGUCUAGUGGUUAAAAUCACAUUUUGAACUCGUUUUUUUAAAUUUGUUAAGCUUGCACACAUGUCGAAAACCCUUAAUGUUUGUAUAUACAGAUAUUUUAAGAUCUAAACAAGUAAUGCUUUAUGUUGAUUCAUUAUAUCUAUAAGUACAUACUUAUGAAUGUUUGAUUUUCAUGUGAAUAUUCCACACUAAACCUAGUUUUACUGUUGUUUCUAUGGUUAUAGACAAACCUUAAAUGAUCAACAGAGUGUUAUCUAUUUGUCAUUUGUAUAUCCUUUAUAUAUCUUGCAUACCUUUUCUUCUGUUCAUGAUUCAGAAAGUGCAUUUGAAUACCUUAUCAACUAAAAUAAAACUAUUAUUUGUUCUA